rnacentral:rRNA from 1 species
GACUGUUUACCAAAAACAUAGCCCUUAAAUUUAAUUAAAGGUGAUACCUGCCCAGUGAUAAUAACAAAAAAUUUUAAUAUAAUUUCAUAUUUAUUAAAUGGAUGCGGUAACUCUGACCGUAAUAAAGUAGCAUAAUUAAUUACCACUUAAUUGGUGGAGAGUAUGAAUGGUGACACGAACUUCUCAUUGUCUUGAUUAAAAUUUUUUAAAAUUGAAUUAAUAGUGAAGAUGCUGUUUAAAAUCGUAAGACGAAAAGACCCUAUAGAGCUUUACUAUAAAUUUUAAUAUAUAAUAAAAAUAAAUUUAUUUUUAUAAUUUAGAAUUUGGUAGUUUAGUUGGGGCGACUAUCUUUUAAAAAUAACAAAGAUAAGUAAAAUUAAUAAUAUAAUUUAUUGUAUAAUUUAUUUAUUUAACAAUUAUUAAAGUAGGCUAUAAUGACCCGUUAGAUUAUAUAAAAAUAAUUAACGAUUAAUUAAUAAAAGCUACCUUAGGGAUAACAGGAUAAUUUUGUUUUAGAGUUCUUAUCAAUUACAAAGUUUGUCACCUCUAUGUUGAAUUAAGAUAUCCUAAUAAUGCAGAAGUUAUUAAAGGUAGGUCUGUUCGACCUUUAAAAUCUUACAUGAUUUGAGUUC